UGUAGGCUCACCGGGAAGUGUGAGGAAAGGAGGUGGAGGAGGAAGAGAAAAUUCAGCCAUCCUCGUCGCCAAAUGUUGUGUAUAAAAAGGACACUGGAGGAGAGGUUUAUGCACGCAACUCACUUUACUUUCAACAAACCGAAACUGACAAUUUCAAACAAAAACAGCUGCAUACUCAACAUGCAGCAAGGCGUUACCAAGCGAACACAGAUACAUGUUUCUUUGUUUGGAUGAGGAUGUAUGGUGAAAAACAGCAGUGUGCGGUAUUCACGUGGGACAUCUGUGGAUUCAGCUGUAGACAGAACAUUCUGUAGAGACAGGCUUUCCAGUCCCCAGGCUCCAGAGCUACAUCCUUGGAGUUCACCUGGGAAAAGGAAAAACAAGCACGUCGUGCUUCCUCUCCAUACACUCUGGGGACAGACCACUUCCAGUCACAGCAACACCCUCGAGAGGAACACAUGAUGC